CCUACGGGAGGCUGCAGUAAGGAAUAUUGGGCAAUGGGCGCGAGCCUGAACCAGCCAAGUCGCGUGAAGGAUGACUGCCCUACGGGUUGUAGACUUCUUUUAUAAGGGAAUAAAGUGAGGCACGUGUGCCUUUUUGUCUGUACUUUAUGAAGAAGGCACGGCUAACUCCGUGCCAGCAGCAGCGGUAAUACGGAGGCUCCGAGCGUUAUCCGGAUUUAUUGGGUUUAAAGGGUGCGUAGAUGGGUUGUUAAGUCAGUUGUGAAAGUUUGCGGCUCAACCGUAAAAUUGCAAUUGAUACUGGCAGUCUUGAGUGCAGUAGAGGUAGGCGGAAUUCGUGGUGUAGCGGUGAAAUGCUUAGAUAUCACGAAGAACUCCGAUGGCGAAGGCAGCUUACUAAACUGCCACUGACAUUGAUGCUCGAAAGUGUGGGUAUCAAACAGGAUUAGAUACCCCUGUAGUC
rnacentral:rRNA from 1 species